GUGCAAAUGACUAGGGCGAUUGUCAGUUGUUGGCAUGUCCUGUGGUCGGACCACAUGGCUCAGAAUCAUAAAACCCUCCAUAAGCAGUCACAGGUGGCACCCUUCAGGAGAGGUUCAUCCCUGUGGCAGCACCAGAGCGCCACCUUGUGGAAAGCUCCCGAACAAUUCGGUGCACUGUGAGCUGGAGAGCCAUUUUGGACCCUUUGGCUGGCUCCUUCCGGGAGUUGCAGGUCUCAUCUGCUGCACUCUUAGACGCUAUGCCUGUGAUGGACUCCCGUUUCGUUGUGAGUGGAUCUUCAAAUUCAUUUCCCUGAGCUCCUAACUGUGAUUUGUUCUUAACGAAAGCUUUCGUGAUGCAUAACCUCACGGGCACUGGUGGUUUUUUAAAUUGUUAUUAUAUUUUGGAAAACAAGUUCCUUAUUAUUUCUAGAUGAGCUUGCAAACGACUCAACAGCCCAUGGGAGUCUCUUUAAAAUAGACCAACAUAUUGGGACACAAGACAAAUCUCAAGGAAUUGAAUAAAAUAGAAUUAAUUAACUUAAUGCAUUCUUUUUAAAAGAUUUGAAUUAUUAUCCUAAACACACUCUCUCUCUCUCUCUCUCUCUCUCUCUCUCUCUCUCUCUCUCUCUCUCUCUCUCUCUCUCUCUGUGUGUGUGUGUGUGUGUGUGCGCGCGCACGCGUGUGUGCGCGUGUAUAGUAUAUAAAAAUGUGUUCAGGUGCCUGCAGAGGCCAGGGGCAUUGGCUCCCCUCCAGCUCGAGUUACAGGCAGGUGUGAGGCAUCUGAUAUGGGUGCCAGGAACUGAACGUGGGUCCUCUAAAAGAGCAGUGUGUACUUUUGACUACUGAGCCAUUUCCCCACCCUCUCAUUUCUUGUAUUUUUUUUUUUCCUGGACACAAUGGAAUAAGAGUUGAAAUCAAAACAAAGGUUAAAUCUAUCUUAGGGGAGAAAAAAAAAAGAUGAAUCCCGUUCCGUACUUAAAGGGAAGCAGAGCUCGCUUAUGUAAUAUAUGUGUUGGCUAUGUGCAAAUUGAUGUCUGAAAGAAAAAAAUCCCUGCAGUUAAUCCUUUACUUCUCAGAUCAUCAUACAAAUGCUCUUGGAGCAACUGAAAGCCAUAUAGGAAACGAAAUUGAUCUCUGACCUUGAAUCAUCAAUGAGUGUGAACUUUAAAUGAAUCUGGGCGUCAAGUACCCAAAGCCUCAGCAGCCUUGCCGAUGUGUCCGGAGGAAGAAAAACCUCUGGUAUGGGUUUCCAGUUUUCCUUCAACUGAGCCAGAUGCUUGACCUGAAAUGACAGAUAUUUCAGAUGGCAGAGGUACAGUACAUUAAAUAACAAACAGUAUUUGCUUAUUUUAUUUACACAUUUCUAUGACCCAUUGAGUGUGAUAGUGUACACUCCUGUGCAUGCGUGUGAACAUGAGAAGAGACGAUUGGUGUCUUCCUCUAUCUCUCUACUUUUACAGGAAAGUCUUACAUGGAACCUAAAACCCACUGUUUUGUCGGGGUUGUGGGUCUGGCUGUCUCCUCCCUUCCACCUUUGGGGUUACAGGCCUGUGUGGCCAUGCUGGAUUCUUUUCUGUGGGUGCUGGGACUUUAAGCUUAGAGUUCUUGCAUUCACAGUAAGCGUACCUACGCACUGGGAAUAGCCCCAACACCCAGACUGUUAUUCUUGAGACCUCAAAGAAUUUUAGUGCAUACUUACAGGUAAUUUCUCUUUCAUGUUUGCUAAUUGUGUAUUGCAACAAAUAAAGUUUUAUACUUUUGGUCAUAUUUUAAACAACAUUAUCAGAACCAUGUGACCUAAACAUGUCACUUUCAAAAAUCCUUAUAAUUUUUCACCAGCGGAUAGACUCAAAUGGAUGGACCUCAGAGCCCUGCACCAUGGGUUUCUUGCUGAGGAACCCAUAACCCUCCACUGGGUCUGAAGACAUAACUACUAUAAAGGAGCAUUUCAGCCUGAAUCUCUCACUCUCUAUGCACUUGACCAUAAGAAACACCCCCUAACCAAUCCAAGCCCGUCCCUUGUACAAAAUGACAGUGGCAAAUCCUACUUGCUUAUCCUAAGACUCAAGUGAAAAAUGUUCAGAGAGGCCUGUUGAAAACCCUGAAGGGCGACCAUGUUAGGAAUCUGUCAUAUGGUAGAUGAAAACAGAGGUGUAUGUGUGGGGUGGAGGGUAGGGGCUUGGCGGUUGCACAGGUAGCUUAGAAGAAUCCAGGUGAUAACUGGAAGCAAUAACUGAUGGCGCCCUCUAUUGGGAAGGGAAAGCAGUGCAUGUGACCGACCGAUCCAUUCAGCUCAGAUAACAGGAAGGGGGCAUUGCAUUAUAAGCAUCAAUCGAAAAGAACAAAGGGUAAGAAAGGGAGAAAGGGAUUAACAUUCCACCAUCACAGAGGCAAGUGUUAACACGCAAGAAUGACUCCCAGAGUCCCAGUGGCAGUGAUAGGAAAAAAAUUGAAGAAAAAAGAGUUAUCUUUAAAAGUGAAAUAAUUAAAAAAUGAAAGCUGAAAUGUUAAAAGCUAAGAUUAUAUAUAUAUAUAUAUAUAUAUACAUACAUACACAUAUGUAUGUAUGUAUGUAUGUAUAUUUAAAGUUAUUAUAUUACAGGGCCCAUGGGUGCUCAUGUCUUUAACUCCAGCACUCUAGAGGUAGUGAGGCAGGAGGAUCACUAUGAGUUCAAGGACAGCCCUGUCUGUAUAGUGAACUCUGGGACAGCCAGGACUACAUAGAAAGUCCUUCUGAUUUUUUUUUAAGUUCGU
rnacentral:lncRNA from 1 species